rnacentral:rRNA from 1 species
UACAGAGGUGGCAAGCGUUGUUCGGAAUUACUGGGCGUAAAGGGCGCGUAGGCGGCCUUCUAAGUCAGACGUGAAAUCCCCCGGCUUAACCUGGGAACUGCGUCCGAUACUGGUUGGCUUGAGUUUGGGAGAGGGAUGCGGAAUUCCAGGUGUAGCGGUGAAAUGCGUAGAUAUCUGGAGGAACACCGGUGGCGAAGGCGGCAUCCUGGACCAAUACUGACGCUGAGGAGCGAAAGCCAGGGGAGCAAACGGG